rnacentral:sRNA from 1 species
ACUCGUAUAUAUUGCGGUUUUUAUCCAACGCAAUCAUAGGUUUGAACUUAGUUUUCAAUUUAGACUCGUAUAUAUAUAGUCUAAAUUGAAAACUAAAUUCAAACCUAUGAUUGCGUUGGAUAAAAACCGCAAUUUUUAUACGUGU